rnacentral:lncRNA from 1 species
AAUCUCCUACUCGAGUGAAUAGGAUAAAAACUUCUCGCUGUUGAAUUGACAAAAAAUCCAUUUCAAAAAAUCAUAACUAAAGUUCUCUUACUACAUGAGUAGUAGAAAGUUUUUAUCCAGCCAUUGGAGGCAGGAAAUUAAUUCUAUUAGUAUGCAUGAUUACACAGUAGAUAACAAUACAACAAAGAACUAACGCAUGUUAACUUCUUUGCUUUGUCACAUCUAAGUUACUAGACAUGCAAUAAAAUGUUCAAAAUGCAGGAAAAAGACACCCAUUGGACACCUUCCAAUUCUUAGAGGGCGUCAACAAAAACUCUUUCACAAAAUUGAGUGCAGUCUAAAGUAAGUGAACUUUUUUAAGCUUUAGACAAACAUGUUCUUUAUCUGCCUCCUAUUUUAUGCAUCUCAUGCAAAUUUAGAAACAGGCAAGGGGAAAACACUGUAAAAAGCCAAUGGCUCAGAAUAACAUAGCUCCAGUUUGUGGAUGUAAUAAACAGGAAGAUAUCCAAAGGGUUCCCAAGGCCGAUGAAAUAGCAAAUACAAAGGGGUUACUGGUCUAAGUUUCAAACAUGUGAUCAAAUGAAAUUGAAUAAAAUGUCACAUAUUUAGAAACUGUCUGAGCUACCAUGAGCCCUCAGCGCCAAGGGUAGGAUUCUCGAAAGCAGAGAAAUUCCAAAAAGUCUUCAAUGAAUAGGGGGGAGAAAUUGUUACUCCCUCUUCUGUGAUUUUUGCAAUCUGCAUUUACACAAUCAAUUCUGUGUCAUGGAAAUAUUCAUCUCACAAGAAAGUUCGACCUAAUAUCAUGUCACUUGAAACAUUCCACUGUAUCAACUACUUUGGCUUAAAUAAGGAUAUCCUCAGGCAGCAAAGUUUGAAGAAUUAAGCCUUCCCCUUCAACAAACUCAAUAUAAUUUAACGUAAUAUAUUUUUGAUAAAAUGAAACUAUGCUUACCUAGAGGAAAAAACUAACAGAGAAAUGGCACCAAUAAUAUACAAGUCACAACAAAGACAGCUCCCAAUAACUUUGCUUAGCUCAAACUACAGCAAAAUCUAGCUCAUCUUAAAGAUUAAAAUCAAGUAAUAUUUACCAAAAAUUAUAACAAAAGUUCACUUCAUCCACUUCCAAUGCAAUGCAUAAAUCACAUUGUGUGAAACGGGUAAUGGGCUUCGAUUACCUCUUAUAUCCUCCCCCAUCCAUGAUUUCUCAGCUGCCCUCUUUUUGGUUAGAGUAGCCAGAUUAAUAUAUAAUUAGAUGUUAAUGUAAAUGAACCAUAACUAUGU